rnacentral:rRNA from 1 species
ACGACCAAAGCUCUUAGAAAACACGGGGUCCCGUCUGCUCCCCCAUAGUUAAACUGAGAAGCGCUGGAUUAGUAGUUGGGUCGGUGACGACCAGCGAAUUCCCGGUGUUGUAUGUU